GUGGGGAAUCUUGCGCAAUGGGCGAAAGCCUGACGCAGCCAUGCCGCGUGAAUGAUGAAGGUCUUAGGAUUGUAAAAUUCUUUCACCGGGGACGAUAAUGACGGUACCCGGAGAAGAAGCCCCGGCUAACUUCGUGCCAGCAGCCGCGGUAAUACGAAGGGGGCUAGCGUUGCUCGGAAUUACUGGGCGUAAAGGGCGCGUAGGCGGACAGCUUAGUCAGAGGUGAAAGCCCAGGGCUUAACCUUGGAAUUGCCUUUGAUACUGGCUGUCUUGAGUUUGGGAGAGGUGAGUGGAACUCCGAGUGUAGAGGUGAAAUUCGUAGAUAUUCGGAAGAACACCAGUGGCGAAGGCGACUCACUGGCCCAAUACUGACGCUGAGGCGCGAAAGCGUGGGGGGCAAACACGAUUAGAUCCCCGGGUAGUCC
rnacentral:rRNA from 1 species